CAUCACUCAGCUCUGUCACACAUGUUCAGACUCAGUCUCUCUGAUAGUGCUGAUCUCUGCUGCUGCUACUGCAUCUAUGAUGAUUAUUGCUGGAUUUGGGAUCUUCUGCAUCAGCAGGAAACACAGAAAUACUGAACAACAAGGCAAGUGUUACAGACUGACUUUAACAAGCAGUUUUGUAGUUAACAUCCUCUAGUUUUUUAAAGAAUAAUGUUUAAAGAAAAUGUCAAUGGCCUUAUGUCAAAUUAAAUUUGUUAAUGCAAUUUUAAUGCAUCUACUUUUUGUUGUUGAAAAAGUUCAGACUCACGAAGAUGAGAUCACAUAUGCUGAGACAACAUUCAACAAAACAAACACACAUAAAUUAAAAGCUGAAGAGGAUGAUCAUGUGGAUUAUGCACCAGUCACAUAGAGAAGAUUAUCAAACUUCAGUUUAGCUGUGUUGUCUGUGGUAACUUUUGAGUCUGAAUCUUGUGUGAGAAUCAGUCAUCCUGAGGGGUAAAACUGAAAUGGUCUCUUAAAACUUCAAAAGCACUUGCCUUGUGACACAAUUCUAAAUCAAAUGGAGUAAGUUUUUGUUUUACCCUUAAAUGUGUGUAAACUCAUGAAAAUAGCAUAAAAUGCAGAUGCAAAAUACUCAUCAAAAGGACGGAAGACUUUGCUGUUUUCACAUUUUCUCUACACAAAUGUGUUUUGAUCUGUGACAGUCACAGACUGCUUGUUCAUGAGAAUGUGUCUUGUGGUCAGUGUCUGUUUGUAAGUGUGUCUCUGAGGUGUGGAAAGUUCAUAUUUAAUAAUAGCAUGUGGUUGAAGUGCUUUUUCCAUUCCUGCUCACAUGAAAUCAUUUAAUUUCUGCUCUAGCUUUCUUUAAAGCUAUCAAUGCUGCUUGACAUAAAGGUCUUAAAUCGCACAGAGAAUUUACUCUGGAAUAUAUAUA